AGAUGUGAGCGUGCCCGAAAGGGAACCGUAACACAGGUGCUGCAUGGCUGUCGUCAGCUCGUGUCGUGAGAUGCUGGGUUAAGUCCCGCAACGAGCGCAACCCUUGCCACUAGUUGCUACAUUCAGUUGGGCACUCUAGUGGGACUGCCGGCGACAAACCGGAGGAAGGUGGGGAUGACGUCAAGUCCUCAUGGCCCUUAUGGGUAGGGCUUCACACGUAAUACAAUGGCAGGUACAGAGGGCAGCCAACCCGCGAGGGGGAGCUAAUCCCAGAAAGCCUGUCGUAGUCCGGAUUGUAGUCUGCAACUCGACUGCAUGAAGCCGGAAUCGCUAGUAAUCGCGGAUCAGCAUGUCGCGGUGAAUACGUUCCCGGGUCUUGUACACACCGCCCGUCACACCAUGGGAGUGGGUUUCACCAGAAGUAGUUAGCCUAACCGCAAGGAGGGCGACUACCACGGUGAGAUUCAUGACUGGGGUGAAGUCGUAACAAGGUAACCGUAA
rnacentral:rRNA from 1 species